CAGCAGCCGCGGGAAUACGGAGGGUGCAAGCGUUAAUCGGAAUUACUGGGCGUAAAGCGCACGCAGGCGGUCUGACAAGUCAGAUGUGAAAUCCCCGGGCUUAACCUGGGAACUGCAUUCGAAACUGUCAGGCUGGAGUCUUGUAGAGGGGGGUAGAAUUCCAGGUGUAGCGGUGAAAUGCGUAGAGAUCUGGAGGAAUACCGGUGGCGAAGGCGGCCCCCUGGACAAAGACUGACGCUCAGGUGCGAAAGCGUGGGGAGCAAACAGGAUUAGAUACCCCUGUAGUCCCUGUCUCUUAUAC
rnacentral:rRNA from 1 species